rnacentral:rRNA from 1 species
CCUACGGGGGGCAGCAGUGGGGAAUAUUGCGCAAUGGGCGAAAGCCUGACGCAGCGACGCCGCGUGAGGGAUGAAGGUCUUCGGAUCGUAAACCUCUGUCAGCAGGGAAGAACGGUCACUGUGCUAAUCAGCAGUGAAUUGACGGUACCUGCAAAGGAAGCACCGGCUAACUCAGUGCCAGCAGCCGCGGUAAUACGGAGGGUGCGAGCGUUAAUCGGAAUUACUGGGCGUAAAGCGCUCGUAGGCGGUAUGUCAAGUCAAGGGUGAAAUCCCCGGGCUCAACGUGGGAACUGCAUUUGAAACUGGCAAACUAGAGUGUGGGAGAGGAAAGUGGAAUUCCAGGUGUAGGGGGGAAAUCCGUAGAUAUCAGGAGGAACAUCAGUGGCGAAGGCGACUAUCUGGCACAUAACUGACGCUGAGGAGCGAAAGCGUGGGUAGCAAACAGGAUUAGAUACCCUUGUAGUC